GCCUUGCCGGUUGAAAUAUCAAAACAAACUCUGAACCAAUUAUAUUAAUUUGUGGACAGGUCAAAAAACAUUAGGUUUUGUUGUGGAAUUGUUAGAUGUUACCUGUUAGAUAAUGCUGCACUGUUAGAUCUAAAAGCGUUUAUUUUUCUUCUUUGGACUUUAUAUGACGGUUGGCAAUUUACAGUGCAUUACUUCAACUGACUGGACUGCGGACCUCAGUUAAUCUUUCAAUCACCCACGUGGGUAUAUGCUUCUAAAAAACAACGAGGAUAUGGCACAUGGGUAUAUGCUCCUAAAAACCAAUGUGGAGAUGGGAGAGGCCGGACUUGCAGCACGUGAA
rnacentral:lncRNA from 1 species